rnacentral:rRNA from 1 species
AUUGAACGCUGGCGGCAGGCUUAACACAUGCAAGUCGAGCGCGCGGCGGAAGGGUGAGCAAUGUAUGUGGACUGUCCGAUAGAGAGGGAUAACUACUGGAAACGGUAGCUAAUAUAGCACACUAUAGGAUAACCCAUAUGGGAUUAGCUAGUAGGUGGGGUAAUGGCUCACCUAGGCGACGAUCCCUAGCUGGUCUGAGAGGAUGAUCAGCCAAACUGGAACUGAGACACGGCCCAGACUCCUACGGAGGCAGCAGUGGGGAAUAUUGCACAAUGGGCGCAAGCCUGAUGCAGCCAUGCCGCGUGUAUGAAGAAGGCCCUAGGGUUGUAAAGUACUUUCAGUCGGGAGGCGUUACCGACAGAAGAAGCACCGGCUAACUCCGUGCCAGCAGCCGCGGUAAUUC